rnacentral:misc_RNA from 1 species
GAGUCACCUUUCAGAAACAUUUAUUCAAUCCUGAAAGAUUAAUAAAGUUCUGUUAAUUCUGAAGAUAUGGUGCCUCAUGGCUUCAGGUUCAAUCCCACUGAUCAAGAACUCAUCCAAAUCCUAGACCGAAAAGCUUCUGAGCAAGAAAUGCCUCUCCCUUUCAUUGUCUACGCCAAUCUCUAUGAGCAUGAACCUCAAGAUCUUGAAUGGAACCACAGUGCCGCUUUAGGAAACGAGGAGAGAUACUACUACUGCAAAAGGGAGAAUGAUUCCAGGGAAGUUACUGGACGGGGAUGGUGGAAAGCUACUAGCCAUGUCAAGAAAGUUCAUGUUAAUGAAAAUCUUGUUGGGUACAAGAGGCCUUUAACAUUUCACAGGUACAGGGACCAAGAAAGAAACCGCAACAAUGCCAUAAAGACCAAUUGGAUCAUGCAUGAG